rnacentral:pre_miRNA from 1 species
AGCCUUUUGUAUCCAUGCUGAGAUUUCGUCAGCGAUCAGCCCGCUGAGGCUGAUGAAGCUUCCCAAAUAAGUGAAGUA